rnacentral:rRNA from 1 species
UAGGGAAUCUUCGGCAAUGGACGGAAGUCUGACCGAGCAACGCCGCGUGAGUGAAGAAGGUUUUCGGAUCGUAAAGCUCUGUUGUAAGAGAAGAACGAGUGUGAGAGUGGAAAGUUCACACUGUGACGGUAUCUUACCAGAAAGGGACGGCUAACUACGUGCCAGCAGCCGCGGUAAUACGUAGGUCCCGAGCGUUGUCCGGAUUUAUUGGGCGUAAAGCGAGCGCAGGCGGCUAGAUAAGUCUGAAGUUAAAGGCUGUGGCUUAACCAUAGUACGCUUUGGAAACUGUUUAACUUGAGUGCAAGGGGGGAGAGUGGAAUUCCAUGUGUAGCGGUGAAAUGCGUAGAUAUAUGGAGGAACACCGGUGGCGAAAGCGGCUCUCUGGCUUGUAACUGACGCUGAGGCUCGAAAGCGUGGGGAGCAAACAGGAUUAGAUACCCUGGUAGUCCACGCCGUAAACGAUGAGUGCUAGGUGUUAGACCCUUUCCGGGGUUUAGUGCCGCAGCUAACGCAUUAAGCACUCCGCCUGGGGAGUACGACCGCAAGGUUG